rnacentral:rRNA from 1 species
AGAGUUUGAUCAUGGCUCAGGACGAACGCUGGCGGCGUGCUUAACACAUGCAAGUCGAGCGAGGAACUUCGGUUCCUAGCGGCGGACGGGUGAGUAACACGUGGGUAACCUGCCUCAAAGAGGGGGAUAGCCUCCCGAAAGGGAGAUUAAUACCGCAUAAUAUUACAGCUUCGCAUGAAGCAGUAAUUAAAGGAGUAAUCCGCUUUGAGAUGGACCCGCGGCGCAUUAGCUAGUUGGAGAGGUAACGGCUCACCAAGGCAACGAUGCGUAGCCGACCUGAGAGGGUGAUCGGCCACAUUGGAACUGAGACACGGUCCAGACUCCUACGGGAGGCAGCAGUGGGGAAUAUUGCACAAUGGGCGAAAGCCUGAUGCAGCAACGCCGCGUGAGUGAAGAAGGUCUUCGGAUUGUAAAGCUCUGUCUUUUGGGACGAAAAAUGACGGUACCAAAGGAGGAAGCCACGGCUAACUACGUGCCAGCAGCCGCGGUAAUACGUAGGUGGCAAGCGUUGUCCGGAAUUACUGGGCGUAAAGGAUGUGUAGGCGGAUAUUUAAGUGAGAUGUGAAAUCCCCGGGCUUAACUUGGGGGCUGCAUUUCAAACUGGGUAUCUAGAGUGCAGGAGAGGAAAGCGGAAUUCCUAGUGUAGCGGUGAAAUGCGUAGAGAUUAGGAAGAACAUCAGUGGCGAAGGCGGCUUUCUGGACUGUAACUGACGCUGAGGCAUGAAAGCGUGGGGAGCAAACAGGAUUAGAUACCCUGGUAGUCCACGCCGUAAACGAUGAGUACUAGGUGUAGGAGGUAUCGACUCCUUCUGUGCCGCAGUUAACACAAUAAGUACUCCGCCUGGGAAGUACGGUCGCAAGAUUAAAACUCAAAUGAAUUGACGG